GUUUGGCUCACAGGGAUACACAGGUGGAAGUGACCGGUCAAGCCUGGGAUGCUGCGCAGGGGGGAAUAAAAUGCUCAGCUGUCAGCUCCUCAAUGGACAGAGACCAGGGCAAAGACGAGCUGCUCCUUUGUCUCUGUGCACAGGUGCCCGCAUAGACAUAGCCACGGUACUCUACACUUGAUGCAUUAUCUUGCUACAGACGCAAGGCAAACUCUGCUCCUCCCUUCUGGCCUAGAGUGCAAUGAUGGAUUAAGUAGGGCAGAGCAGAAGGAGCCUUGGUGGAAACAGUACAUUUGAAAUGAACCUAUGCUGCAGACUGACUCGGAUUCUCCAGCCAAGACUGAGAAUUGAGCAAUGACAAGCUGCCCUAUUUUUUUCCCUUGAAGGGAAGACAUCUAGUUCCUUCUUCAGGUCUUCUCCUUCCUGCAGCUGUGGCUCUGUUUCCUGAAUGUUACUCCCUUCCUUGCCCUGUGAUCUCGCUCUGGUGUCCUGUGUGAUCCAGUGACUGCCCGCGCCUAAUGCGUGAGCCUCCUGGAGCAGGAGUUGAGGUGCCCAAGAUGCAUACAUACGGUGUGCCUGUGCUGGGGAGGCCUUGUCUGGAGAGCUGUCCCUCCCUGUUUGCAUAGCUUACUAGGCAUGUAACCCUGCUAAAUGCUUUUCAGAUGUGUGAAUAACGCUUUUGAGGUGGUUGCUAGGCUCUUGCAGAAGAUACAGCAAAGCAGUCAAAAUUCUUCAUGUUAAUUGGUAGGAAUACUCCAGCCAUCUCGCUGCUGCCUGCCUCAUCUUUCCAUGGCAACACUCUCUACAGCAGCCCAGGUGCUUGUGGUUGGAUAUAGUGGGAUUUUUUGAGCCCUCUGUCUUCCAAAUUGCCCCUUGGAGCAUGGAGGGAACAUCUGUACUUUUAAAGUAUGGGUAUCAUGUGAUACAUCAAAUAGCUUCCCUUGGUCUAACCAUAUCCCUUUUUCAUGCUGUCAGACGAAAAACUUUGGAAACAUGCCUGCAUUUCUUUGGUGGAAAGAGCGGUUGUCCUGUUUGUUUUUUUAACAGGGAGAGAAUGGUGCUGAAAGAGUCUUGAGUGUUUUCCUUCCCAUGGCCUGAGCUGUCACACCUUUCUGUGAGCUGGAGAAAGGAGGGACCACAGCUCAUGGCAUCUGGUGGGCAAAGGGAAGGGCAAUCUUUUUCUCUCCAGCAGAGCUCAGCCUGGAUUGAGUUCUGAUGUCUCCUUCAGGAAGCCGGGAUGGUGGCUGGAAGGAGCCAGAGAACAGACACUUGGUAGCAGCAAGUGCUGGUUCAUCUUGAAAUACAGUGAGAAACAGGCUGGAUGGAGGAGACCACCUAUUCAUCCACAAAACAGUGAGCUGCUGCUGUUGCUGUGGUCAGGGUGAAGGCAUCCUCCUGGUCGGACCUUGAUUAGCAAAUAAGUUUAUUUCUCUUCCAUCUCCAGGAGGCCACAGAUGGUAUCUGAGUCCCUUAGGACAAUCUAGGACCUAGAAGGUCCUUUCUGAUCUUUUCAUUUGUAUUUUUCUCCUCUUUCAAAUGAAGCGUUUCCUUUCCUGAUGGUUUGAGUUCCCCUCAUUUGGAUCUUUGUGUUUCCAGGGAUCUUACCUGGUUCAGAGUGUCAGCAGUGGUGAAGGAAUGAACCGCAAUUCUGGUGCCUUGUUUCACACCUCCAGUGGAUGAAUUUUCUUCUGGGGAACUGGGAAGGGUGUUUCUCCAGCAGCAGGAGAGGUUUGGACUAACAUAGCCUGCUCUUUACACAGCAAGCUGCUCUGUAGUCCCUAGACAACUCCACGCUGGUUUGUCAAAUUGGGUCUAAUGGCAAAGUUCAAGCCUGUAGGAUGAGUAGGUCUUGUACGCUCCUGAAAGUCGAAGAGAAAAGGCAGAUGAAUCAGCAGGAAGUUAUGGUGGGCCUAUUCCCAGCUCUGCUCUUCCCAAGAAAUAUGCAUGAUGCCACACUCUCCCCACCUCAACCUCCCUCUGCUGUUACGUGGACUGGGGAAUCACAAUGGCAGUCCCAGCAACAGUCAUGGAUAAAGAUAUUUGGGAAGAUGAUAAAGACAAGAAGCCUGGAUUCAAUCCCCAUCACUCCUUUUGUUGGGUGAAACAGGGAGUCAAGCAGCCCUGAAGUGUAAAUCCUUGGUUUGGAAUAAAGGAUGUGCUGUAGUGUAUGCUUAAAUACUCUUUCUGUGGAACUGAAGCCCUGCAAGGACAAGUGAUACGUGAUCCACCAGGCUGACAGCACAUCCUGGGACUUGGCCUUUACCAGGUGAUUCAGAGAAGCCCCAGAAUGCAUCUGGCCAGCUGGGCCAGUGUCACAUAGGAGCUGGAGGGAAAAGGGCUAUUUUCCACUUCUUGAUUACUUCCAGGACUCUGGAAUGAGCGAGGCUGGAAAUGACACCAUGAACAGAUGACAACUGGGGCAGUACAGAUCCUAAAUGAGCACAGGGAUUGCCCCACUCUGUCCCCAAAUUGCAUGUAAGGUUUGGCUUCUUUGCAAUGGGGUCAGCCUCCGCAAGCUCCAGUCAUCUUUGCUGCCUUGCCAUGUACCAUGUGCUUCUUGCUAAUUCUUCCUAUGCUAGAGAGUGGUGACGAGUGAUGUGAGGUCCCAGCAAAACCAGCUCCAGGUUCUCACUGAAACAGCCUAAUGAGGGUCUCCUAAUUGGGUCACUGAAAGGAGGGAGCAUCUGAACUAAUCCAUAAGUCUGGGGUGGCAAUUCAAGCUGGAAAUGCAGCAGGACCUCAGCUUGCACACUGGCCCCCAGCAAGGAAAAAGCACACGGCCUGGUUCCAGAGUCUUUGAAAAGCCUUUGAAAAGGCUAACAUGCCAUCUUAGCUGGCUGUCUCUCCUGUCAGCUGAGCAGGCUUGAAACCUUCACCCGUUAGUACUGUGUGCAGUGGGAUCCAUGAAGUCUCAUUUCUUGUGGAUAUAUCACUUGAGUUUGGAUUCUCUAGUGUCUAGUAAGCUGCUUGUGCUGAAUGGAGCAUCUCCCCUUACUGGGGUAUUUAUAGCAUCACUCCUUCUCCCACACAGAUUGUCUGAUGUCUAAUAAGGGAUGAUACACUACAGUUUGGAAGGUGCUAAUAAUGUCUCUUCUCUCUUUAACAGUCUGUUCCCAUGAAAUUUAUAGACUCUGACUGUCUCUCAGACCUCUGUCUCUGUCAGAUCAGGUUGAAAUCUGUUUGCUGUGUCAGAAGUUGCGGGGAGUGGGCAGAGGACAGACUGAUGCAGCAGGAGUGCGUAUGCUUUGCACUUCUUGGGAAAUUAGGCUGAAAACGUGCCCAGCUCUGUUUCCUGCAGAUCUGGAGGGGCAGCUGUGGUUCAGAUCACUAAAUUGUGAGUUUGGGAAAGCAAGCUGGUUGGGUGGGAGGAAGGCGCUGAGCUCAAAACGUACCCAGGAGAAGAGCUGCUCUGCCCCCAGCCGUCUUGCAUGCCAUGCUGAGGGCUCCUCAGGCACGCUUGAGCUGCCUGGGGCGAUGAGUGCAAGUACAGAGCUUGGCCUCUUGCGAAAGACAGCCCCUGAGGACAAUAAACGAGCAAGCCCAGGGCUCUUGGCUGGUGUGAAGAAUUGCCAGGCUAAAGGAUAAUGAAUGCCACAGCAGGAAAUAGAGCAUUUCUCUGAGGCCAUUCAUCCCCUUUAUCACUCUGCUAACAAGCCCCAGAGUGACUUCAGAGAGACUUCUCUGGAGCAGCACCAUCCCUCAGCCCUGCUUAUGGCUGGGUGCUGGGGGUGAGGAAUACAUUGCAUGGCAGGAGUGCUCAGUGGAAAACUGCCGACCAAUCCCAAAUAACAGCUCCAAGUCUGGGUGUCUGCAGUAGGGACUGUGCAGUGGCUCUGGCUUGGCGUGGAGACCAUGCCCUUCUUCGGGCCAUGUGCGGUGCCACCUGAGAGAUCUGUAUGAAAAAGCCAAGCAUCGAUCUUUCUUAAAGAACUCUGGGGCAGCAAGUGCCCUGCAGCACCUUAGGAGGAUUGCUCUAUCCUAACUCCCACCUUGUCUAAGAUUUAAAAUUCAUAAGAUUUAUACAGGACCCAAGAGGAGUUUGGGACUGCUGGCACAGAGGUCUCUCAGCAUUUUAAAAGAAAGCUAACACCGCAGAUUGGAAAACUCACAUCUUGAGGCUUCAAAGACUAGUUCAAAGCCAGCCAGAGGAGCCAAGGCCACUGCCUCACCAUUAAAUGUCGAGUUGAAGUGAAACACAAUACAUCACCUUCCUCAUGGGCUGCCAUUCAGCCAACAGGAACCAAGAUUAGCCUUCAAUCACACAGGGGCUGGAGCUGUAGGAAACCUUCCUGAGGACACACUAGCGGAACAUUUUCAUUAGCGGAGGAGAACCUGAUGGAGAUGAAGUGCCCCUUCACCUCGACUGCCAGACCUCUCCCCUGCCUGGCAUUAACAGGAUUAGGAGAUGCUGAGGAGCUGGUGCCAGCUGCAACACUUUAAGUGCUGUCUCAUCCAGAUGUGAGAAACUGCUGUGACACACUGAAGCAGCACUUUUGUAGCAUGGUGGGGGUGGCUUUGGUUUUUCUCUUGCCUAUGGAUGAGCACUCAUUGCUAGAAGCGAACUGGUUCUCUCCGUGCUAUUAGCGGAAUGGAGGAAGAGGGUGCUAGGUUGCAAGCCACGUACCUGAAUGGGUAUCCUAGCAUGGGCCAGAAAAAGGUGUCCUUGGAUGAUAAGGUCCAUAGGUCCAGAAGGUAUCAUGGGCUCUGCCUCCUGCAACAAGUUUUGCAAAUAUAACAGGACUGCCUUAGCAGUAGUGGAGUUUUUCUCUGCUCCAUGGAAAGCUGUUCCACAGCCCACUUUUGCAGGCAUCUGCUCUUGGCCUGCGUCCCCUCAGGACAGUUAAGAUAACCAGCAUUCACUUCUGCUAUUGAUGUCUCUUUUGUAUUGGAGAAACAUACCCUACACCCUAGCUGGAAGGCUGGGACAGACCUGUCUCUCCUGGUUACCAGGAUUAGCCAGCAGGGUCCCUGCAGUUGGUAUCUGCCAUCCUCCACCUCACCUCCCUGGGGCUGGUGUGCUCCCGACAAAGACAGGAUCUGUCUCUUUCACUCACAGCUGAAGGAUGCUUUGCCUGGUCCUGUCUUGCAGGUUGGAAGGAAAUAAUUCUAAUUUAUGUGGCAUAUUCCUUUGGGGGGAUGAGGGGAAGAAAAGAGAAAAAAGCCCAGACACAACAGAAACUCUGGCUAUUCUGGGUAUUUUUAGCUCUUUGCAAAGAGCCGUUAACAUUAACCUCUCUCUUACUCUCUUCUCCCCCUGUGCCCCCCAUUUCUGUAUUUGGGGCUGCCUGCAAUACUGCAUUAACGUCAUAUCUCU